ACGAACGCUGGCGGCGUGCCUAAUACAUGCAAGUCGAACGCUUCUUUUUCCAUCGGAGCUUGCUCCACCGGAAAAAGAGGAGUGGCGAACGGGUGAGUAACACGUGGGUAACCUGCCCAUCAGAAGGGGAUAACACUUGGAAACAGGUGCUAAUACCGUAUAACAAUCGAAACCGCAUGGUUUUGAUUUGAAAGGCGCUUUCGGGUGUCGCUGAUGGAUGGACCCGCGGUGCAUUAGCUAGUUGGUGAGGUAACGGCUCACCAAGGCGACGAUGCAUAGCCGACCUGAGAGGGUGAUCGGCCACAUUGGGACUGAGACACGGCCCAAACUCCUACGGGAGGCAGCAGUAGGGAAUCUUCGGCAAUGGACGAAAGUCUGACCGAGCAACGCCGCGUGAGUGAAGAAGGUUUUCGGAUCGUAAAACUCUGUUGUUAGAGAAGAACAAGGAUGAGAGUAACUGUUCAUCCCUUGACGGUAUCUAACCAGAAAGCCACGGCUAACUACGUGCCAGCAGCCGCGGUAAUACGUAGGUGGCAAGCGUUGUCCGGAUUUAUUGGGCGUAAAGCGAGCGCAGGCGGUUUCUUAAGUCUGAUGUGAAAGCCCCCGGCUCAACCGGGGAGGGUCAUUGGAAACUGGGAGACUUGAGUGCAGAAGAGGAGAGUGGAAUUCCAUGUGUAGCGGUGAAAUGCGUAGAUAUAUGGAGGAACACCAGUGGCGAAGGCGGCUCUCUGGUCUGUAACUGACGCUGAGGCUCGAAAGCGUGGGGAGCAAACAGGAUUAGAUACCCUGGUAGUCCACGCCGUAAACGAUGAGUGCUAAGUGUUGGAGGGUUUCCGCCCUUCAGUGCUGCAGCUAACGCAUUAAGCACUCCGCCUGGGGAGUACGACCGCAAGGUUGAAACUCAAAGGAAUUGACGGGGGCCCGCACAAGCGGUGGAGCAUGUGGUUUAAUUCGAAGCAACGCGAAGAACCUUACCAGGUCUUGACAUCCUUUGACCACUCUAGAGAUAGAGCUUCCCCUUCGGGGGCAAAGUGACAGGUGGUGCAUGGUUGUCGUCAGCUCGUGUCGUGAGAUGUUGGGUUAAGUCCCGCAACGAGCGCAACCCUUAUUGUUAGUUGCCAUCAUUUAGUUGGGCACUCUAGCAAGACUGCCGGUGACAAACCGGAGGAAGGUGGGGAUGACGUCAAAUCAUCAUGCCCCUUAUGACCUGGGCUACACACGUGCUACAAUGGGAAGUACAACGAGUCGCAAAGUCGCGAGGCUAAGCUAAUCUCUUAAAGCUUCUCUCAGUUCGGAUUGUAGGCUGCAACUCGCCUACAUGAAGUCGGAAUCGCUAGUAAUCGCGAAUCAGAAUGUCGCGGUGAAUACGUUCCCGGGCCUUGUACACACCGCCCGUCACACCACGAGAGUUUGUAACACCCGAAGUCGGUGAGGUAACCUUUUGGAGCCAGCCGCCUAAGGUGGGAUAGAUGAUUGGGGUG
rnacentral:rRNA from 1 species